AACGCGAAGAACCUUACCUGGGCUCGAACGGCUGGUCAACGGCGGUGGAAACAUCGCUACCCCGCAAGGGGGUCCAGUCGAGGUGCUGCAUGGCUGUCGUCAGCUCGUGUCGUGAGAUGUUGGGUUAAGUCCCGCAACGAGCGCAACCCUUGUCCUGUGUUGCCAUCAUUCAGUUGGGAACUCGCAGGAGACCGCCAGCGAUAAGCUGGAGGAGGGUGGGGAUGACGUCAAGUCCUCAUGGCCUUUAUGUCCAGGGCUACACACGUGCUACAAUGGCCGGUACAAAGCGUCCCGAAGCUGCGAAGCGGAGGCAAUCGCAAAAAACCGGUCUCAGUUCGGAUUGCAGGCUGCAACUCGCCUGCAUGAAGCUGGAAUCGCUAGUAAUGGCAGAUCAGCACGCUGCCGUGAAUACGUUCCCGGGCCUUGUACACACCGGACACGC
rnacentral:rRNA from 1 species